rnacentral:rRNA from 1 species
AUUGAACGCUGGCGGCAGGCCUAACACAUGCAAGUCGAGCGGAGCUGCCGACGGGUGAGUAAUGCCUAGGAAUCUGCCUGGUCGUGGGGGUUCACGUCCGGAAACGUGCGCUAAUACCGCAUACUAUCUGAUGAGCCUAGGUUGGAUUAGCUAGUUGUUGGGGUAAAGGCCUACCAAGGCGCCGAUCCGUAACUGGUCUGAGUGGAUGAUCAGUCACACUGUAACUGAGACACGGUCCAGACUCAAACGGGAGGCAGCAGUGGGGAAUAGUGCACAAUUGGCGCAAGCCUGAUACAGCCAUGCCGCGUGUAUGAAGAAGGCAUUCGGGUUGGAAAGUACUUUCAGCGGGGAGGCGUUACCCGAAGAAGAAGCACCGGCUAACUCCGUGCCAGCAGCCGCGGUAAUUC